rnacentral:tRNA from 1 species
GCGGGCGUGGUUCAAUGGUAGAACGCGACCUUGCCAAGGUUGAGACGUGGGUUCGAUUCCCAUCGCCCGCUCCA